rnacentral:snRNA from 1 species
GUGCUCCCUUCCAGGGCACAUAUACUAAAAUUGAAAUGAUACAGAGAAGAUUAGCAUGGCCCCUACACGAGGAUAGCACACAAAUACAUGAAGUGUUCCAUAUUUUU